AUGAACGCUGGCGGCGUGCUUAACACAUGCAAGUCGAACGGAAAGGCCGAAGCUUGCUUCGGUACUCGAGUGGCGAACGGGUGAGUAACACGUGGGUGAUCUGCCCUGUACUUCGGGAUAAGCUUGGGAAACUGGGUCUAAUACCGGAUAUGACGAUCUCUUGGAUGGGGUUGUGGAAAGCUUUUGCGGUAUGGGAUGAGCUCGCGGCCUAUCAGCUUGUUGGUGGGGUAAUGGCCUACCAAGGCGUCGACGGGUAGCCGGCCUGAGAGGGUGUACGGCCACAUUGGGACUGAGAUACGGCCCAGACUCCUACGGGAGGCAGUAGUGGGGAAUAUUGCACAAUGGGCGCAAGCCUGAUGCAGCGACGCCGCGUGGGGGAUGACGGCCUUCGGGUUGUAAACUCCUUUCGCAAUCGACGAAGCCUUUUGGUGACGGUAGGUUGAGAAGGAGCACCGGCUAACUACGUG
rnacentral:rRNA from 1 species